GUCUAUUUGGAGUUUUAAGAAGUUUGGCCUGCCCACUGAUAUAAAAUUUUUAAGGGCCGCGGUAUUAUGACCGUGCUAAGGUAGCAUAAUCAUUAGGUUUUUAAAUGAGAUCUUGUAUGAAUGGUUGAACAAAGAAAAAACUGUCUUUAAUAAUAAAAUUUGAAUUUUACUUUUAAGUGAGAAGGCUUAAAUAAUUUAAGGGGACGAUAAGACCCUAUAAAACUUUACAUUAAAAUUAUAUUUGGUUGAAUUUUAAAGUGAUAAAGAUCUAAAAUAAAGAUUGUUGUGUUGGGGCGACAAAAGUAGAAAUUAUAGUAGCUGCUUGAAAAGGAAUCACUUUUAAGUGAUAAAAGUUAUAGAUCUUAAUUAUAAAUUUAAAGAUUAAGUUACUUUAGGGAUAACAGUGUAAUUUUUUUUUGAGAGUUCAUAUCGAAAAAAAAGUUUGUAACCUCGAUGUUGAAUUAAAAUAUCUAUAUAAUGAAGUAGUUGUAUAAGAGGGUCUGUUCGACCUUUAAUUUUUUACAUGAUUUGAGUUCAAAUCGGCGUGAG
rnacentral:rRNA from 1 species